UACGAAGGGGGCUAGCGUUGCUCGGAAUGACUGGGCGUAAAGGGCGCGUAGGCGGUUUGUACAGUCAGGUGUGAAAUUCCCGGGCUCAACCUGGGGGCUGCACUUGAUACGUAUGGACUGGAGUGGGGAAGAGGGUCGUGGAAUUCCCAGUGUAGAGGUGAAAUUCGUAGAUAUUGGGAAGAACACCGGUGGCGAAGGCGGUCUGCUGGGGUGAGGCUGACGCUGAUGCGCGACAGCGUGGGGAGCAAACAGG
rnacentral:rRNA from 1 species